AGGUGCCCCCACCUCUUUUUAUGCACGUUCUGUAUUUGUGCCUUGGGAGUUAGCCUCUGUCAUGGGUAAGUGUGAGCAUUUGGGUAUGAGACUGUCACCAGCAACAUUAUCCAUGUCAGUACUAAAUGUACUUUCUGCAUUCAGCACAUUCCUAUUUUGCUGUAUUUGCUUUCAGUUCCUGCUGCCAGAGCUGCUAUGUAUGCUUGGAGAAAUGCAUGGCUACUUGAAGGAAAAAAACCACACAAAACUAACCAAAACAAAAUCCCACCAAAACCCCCCAAACCUUAGCUAAUUCCAACAAUCUCAAAUGCGUUGGAUCCAAGAUCCUUGAACCUGUCUCCGCACUUCGUGUGAGGCCUUGAUCUUUAGCCAGGUUGACCAGCCUGCCUGAAGCAUAUUCCCAGCUGUUCAGCCAGAGGGACCCUCAAGGUGGAAGUUAAAAGCCUCAUCAAGCUUCUACACCUUUCAUGUUUCCAGCAGGCUCAGUCUCCUCUCUCUCAUCACCCCAGGAAGUAUGCUGUCAGCCCUACUCUCCUUUCACCCCAGUAAACUGGGGUGUGAUGGUAGACUGUUUUAUUUAUGGAACCCCUGAAAACAAUGUAGACUAUUCCACAGAAACAUGUAAUAAAAUGCUAACAUGCCUACAACGUGGCAUUCUGCAUUUUGAUCGGCUUUGUGGCAAUUAUAAAUGCAAGGUGAAAGAAACAUCUAUGUAAGCACUUUAGGAGUGGCUAAUGAAUUUUUAAGUUUGAGUUUGGCCUAUUAGGAAGGGUUAUUCCAAGUGAUCCUGUAUGUAAGGUCUCUGUGCCUGGCCUCUAGAUCACUCUAGAUCACAAGUAGUUUCCCAAGUCUAUAGCCUUUUUCCUGGUUGAACAGCUCUCUAUGUAAAUGGCAUGUAGAACUUGUGCUUUGAAGCCAUGCAAAUUUUCACUUUAACCAGCAGAACUUAAAAUCCAAUAUUAAGAUCUCUGCUUUCUCCAAUAUUAACAGGCCUGCUCAAGGAAAUUAAUGCAGAAACAGGGUUUUUUUGGUGAUAUGAUUGUUUUACCUUUUUCUUUUAAGAGUGCCCAGCCUUUGAUCUAAUUCUAGUUGGAGUCACUGAAGUAACAUCUCCCAAUUACCCUGGCAUUUACCCUGACAUGCUGAACUGCACUUGGACAACUUAUUCUACUUCAGGAAACAAGCUGAAGGCUGUGCUUAAAGAUUUUGUAACUGAGGAUGCAAGGGAUUGCAUCUGGGAUCAUUUGAGUAUUUAUGAUGGACCACAUAGCUCUUCAAGGCUUCUGGGUACAUGUUCAUUUACUAUCUAGCUGCAAGUACCAAAGCUGCCUUGUGCCAUACAGACAUCGGGAUCUUUGGGUACAGAAAUGUUCACUGGAAUGGCUUCAUGCCUUCCUGGUUCUCUUCCCCCCAUGUAUGUAGACAUGAAAACUGGUUAUUGAAAUAAUUUCACUAAAGUAUGACAGGCACUCGUCUAGAGCAUGAGAACAAUUUGGCCAUUGCACUAGGCUUCACUUCUUCAGCCUGGGUAGGGAGUGAUAUUGCAUAGGCCACUAGAGAGUUACCUCUUGAAAGACCUCAGAGAAGUCUUGGCAUCCACUAAUAUCUUUGAGUAUCAAAUGGCUUGGAUUAAAACAUCUGUCCCUGGUAAUAAGUAUAGAGGCUGUGUCUCAAACUACUUGGCAAUGACUACAACUGCAGUAUUUUUUUUCUUCCCCCUACCAGCAAACUUAUUUGGCCAGAAAAAUCUUUUAGCAUGUUCUCCAACAGCAGCUUCCUGACCCUGCAUUUCAAAGCUGAUGAAUCUGUGGGAUACAGAGGCUUCAAAAUCCUUCUUGAAGAGUUGAUUCAGCAGCCAACACAAAGUGAGCUGGAAGGCAGCAGCCAAUUGCUCAGAACAGUUCUGGGGAAAAAAUACUUGUUGCCAAAUGUGAAGGAUGACAACCCCAUGCUUGUGAAAGCCAUGCACAUGCACUAUGGCUUUGAUGGGUUUCCUUUCAGAAGUGGCCUGGCACUCCUGGAGCUGCAGAAACCCACUGAGCCAGGCAGUCCUGUGGCAACAACUUGCUUACCAGGCAGUGGGGAGGAAGCAAGCACUGCUGCAAGAUGCUUAACAGCGGGGAUGGGGAGAGACAGGAGCUGGCAGAAGAACUGGCUGCCAGGCUCCAACAAGCAGAGAUCUUUUUCCUCUCCCACAACGCCUGUGCGAACUACUGAGGACAAAAUAUUGAAGAGACCAAUGUCUGCGGAAGCGCUGUAGAGGCAGCUUUUUGCACGAGAAGAAAGUGGCUUUCAUUUGGAAGGAACUCCAGUGCUGAGACAUCCAGGAGCUCCUAAUCAUUAGGACCUACAACCAAGGUUUUUAGGUUUUUCUCCAGCUUCAUCUAAAAACUUGUACCCUCCAAAAAAGCACUGCUCUUAUAUGGGAAUGCAACUCACACAAAUGUCAUACAUCACCAUGCACCACCACUGAGAGUCCGUAGGGAUAAAUUUGACUUUUCUUGUUGACACAAAAAUCUGCCCACUUUGUGGGAGCAUGAGGCACCCACAACCCCUCCUCUCAUGGUGCCUCCAGGAGGAGCAACAAGCCCUGGCAGUGAAUAACAGAGGAGCCUCUCUGCAACACAGCGCUGGUCGCACAUGCAGGAGGUGCUGCUGCAGAUGGGUGUGUUAUGGUCCCUUCUCCUCCUCACGGACUCGGGAGAGAAGAAAGGAUAACAAUGAACUGCAGAGUUCCUAUGAAGAUACCACAUAUCUUCUGCCAGCUGUCAUGGUAGCCUUUGCUCAAAAGAAGACCUCGCUUCCAGUUCCUCAGACUCCCUCACUUCUGCAGGUGUUUCCAAACCAUCUAUAUACUCUCCCCAUUUGGUUUCUGUCAGCAGUGAUUCCCUGAGGGCUCCCAAGGUCCACAUGCACUCUGCACUGCUUUAAUGUACUCCAGCAUCUCCCCAGCUGUCACUGGCUGCUGCAAAACAGCUCCUCCUCGCACAGCUUUCCACCUGGCCUGAGUGUCCUCAUACUGCGAAGCAUCACAGCUGGAUGGAUACAGGCACUGCGGAGAGAGGCGAGGGAGCACGAGGGCGGUUGAUGCCCUAACACAGGUAGGAAUCGCUCUACAACAGCCCACCCUUCCCUGGGCUUCAGCAGUAGACACAGACCACAUGCAUGCACCUCCUCCAGAAGGCAUGUGGAGCACUGUGGGCAUGCACACGCCUCCGUGCUGACUCCUUCCCCCGGCCUGUGUUUUGUUUUGCUCGUCUCUUGUGUGGCUUGUCUUCAUGUCGGGUGUUGUGGCGAGAGAUGUUGGACCUUUUGUAGAAGACAUCUCCUGGGAAAGCACGUGGCUCUGUGGUGUCACCAUAGGGCAUCAGGCAACACAGUAUGGCAGGCUCAGGAUUGCUCUUGCUUUUCACUGUAAGUUCCUCUUCUGUCCAGCAGUAUAUGUGUGCAUUCACCCCUCCUCCUCUCGCUCUGUUCCCCCAUAGGCCAGAUGUCCUCUCCUCCCUUCUGAGACCCACUCCUUUUUGCUGUGCUCCAGGUGAACCGUAUCACUUUGGGGAUGAAGGGGCCACAGGGUGGGUCCUGCCACCCGCAGUCACAGGGCAAAGUCGCCUGUGUACCCGGAGAGACCCAGUCUGCCACGCUGCUGUAGCAGAGCACAGAGGAUAGUCAGCAAGCUCAGGGGAGAUGACUGCAAAUCAGGAGCUUAAUCAAGGAUGCGCAGCACUGAAGGGCAUUGUUCUUUCACUGCUUACUUUCUGUGGAGUAAGUGCCAGCCACCAGAAAGCUGUAUGUAGCUCUUGUCCAGUGCGAUGCAAAGGCAGGGUAGGUAUAAAUGUGUUCUGAGCGUUGUAAGAUACUGCUGUACAGCAGUGCUUUGCAUGGCACUGCAAAUGUUAACUGGGUACAGAGCUGCUGUUAGCGCUGGCAGAGCACCUGCGGAUGGGCUUAUCACGUUGGGUGUGAAUGCAGACUUAGAAUGUUUGAAACAUAAAGCUGAGCUCCAGAGUUGUUUGGGAUCCCUGCGCAGACAUAGCAGUCGUGAACUAAAUUGGGGAUGGUUACAAUGUGCCUUGGCCGGGAUCUCAGAAGAGCUGAAUGUGCAUGUGCUUCUCUGUUUAAGACCAGGAUUAACACAGUGCGGACUCUAAUUUGGAUUCCAGGAACGAAGUUCAAGAAUCUAUCCUUGCACAGCCAGGAGGGCUAUCUGAGGCAAAAGUGAAAUUGAUUUUGGUUUAAAAGGGCUGUAAAGAAAGAUAGGAGUAAAUAUGGAGAAAAAUAAUCUAAAAUUGAUUAGAAAGGAGCCAUUACCCAGCAGGCAGUAAAACACUGAAGAUAGGCCAUUGAAUAACCAUGAAAAGAAAAUGAGAAUGCUCUGGCGUAUACAAAUAAGAAUCAGAACAUUGCACUCCUGCAGUGGUAUUUUUUGCUUCGGUCCAUGUGUCACUCUUUUGUGGUUUAAGGUUAGAAACUGCUGUGAAAGACUAAAGACGUGCCCCAUAACUUGGAAGAAACUCUGGAUCAGGAUCGGUAACUAUCAGAGGGAUUUAUAGCAAAGUUCAGCCUAGAAAUGCAGCAGUGGGGACAUAUUCUGGGAGCAAAGUGCAAGCAGGACUUGUGUGUCAAAUUACAUCACAGAUACCAAACUGAAGGAAAAAAGGGGGAUUUCAUUCUUGAUGCUGGCGUGGAAAAGGAAAAUCUGGCUGUAUACUUGCAAUAUCUGGAACAUGAAACAGUGGCAGUGGUUUUAAUUACAUAGAUGGGACUUACUGAAUAUAUCCAUUUGGAGACUGAGAUUCCCAAAGUAUGGCUGUAUGAGAGACAUCAAGUUACCAUACAAAUUUCAACUACAUUUUUACAACCUUACAGUGGACUUUGCACAUUUAGUGAUGUGGUCGGGGCAUUUCUGCUUCUAGUUCUCUGUUCAGCCCAGAUUUGAUGCUGUAUAUAAGGCAUAUCUAACAUGUUAAU